GCGCAGGGGAGGUUGUUCUCACAGCUGCUGCGGAGCAAAUGUGCCACGGCCACGCCAUUUCGAGCCACGCUACAGCAAGUGUGGUGGCCAAGACAGGUCUCCCCAGGUCUUCAUCCCUUCAGCUGAAGGCAGGACACUGCCAAGGCCAACAGGGGCCUCAGCCUCCAGAGAGACUGGGUCAGGGCCGGAGGAGGAGGAGGAAAGCCUCUUUGCAGGUGACAAGGCCACAUGCAUGCCAGAGCCUUGGAGCCCCGGCUGCCCUACAAAGGUCUGGCCCAGCCUUCCCUUCGGAAGCACCCAGGACACAUGACAUGGCAAUGGCAGCAUCUCCCCAGGCAUGUUCCCCAGCCCCCACCCACGGGACCAGGUUGAAAACUCUAGACUUGAAAGCUGUCCAAGACGACGAAAGAUCUGUAUGACUAACUAGAGAGUCUCAUCUUGCAAUAAUGUGCCUUUUGUUGCUGAAGUCUUUCCAACCACAAGUUCAGAAAAGACUGUUUCUACCUGAAAUCUACUCAUUUAAUGGAACAACUGUGGAAGCAGCAUCCCUGGAGAGUGUGACAGCCACAAAAUAAUUAUCUCCCUCACCAGAGACUAAAGCCAUUGAGGAUGCAGAGAUUCCCGACUGGGGUUGGAGGGAAGCUCUCAAGAGGGAGUAAUCAGCUGCUGCUGCACUCUAUCCAAUGCACAUCUUUCCAUGGACGUUUAGAGGAUUUAAAGGUCACCCCCAAACUGUCAGUUCAGCGGGACAAACAUUCAAAACCUUAAGCACUCUAACAAGUGAAUCUGAUGCAAAUGGACAGAACCAUAGUAAAGGAGGCUGGAAAAGAUCCUGAGAGGUCAUUUAGUUUAUCCGCUGUUAUUUCAAGUACCCUGGACUUCAAAGAGAAAUCCUCCAUACCAUACCUAGGACUAACAGCAUACUUUGGGGAGCUGUUUUGUAGUGGCUGACAAUAGAUAAUAACUUGUUUUAGGUGAGUUGCAAGUUGUCUGUAGUGUGACUAUGAGCACAGCAGUCAGAAAUA